GCCUGGGUGGCUCAGUCGGUUGAGCUUCUGACUUUGGCUCAGGUCAUGAUCUCACGGUGUGUGAGUUCAAGCCCUGCCUGGGGCU
rnacentral:tRNA from 1 species